GGCUGGGUCCCAUACGACUGACUCUUUAGUGAAUUCCGCUAGGUCCGGAAGGAAGCAACGGUGUCUAAAGAGCAUUGCGAUAUGGGGCGCCCAGCUCUU
rnacentral:SRP_RNA from 1 species